rnacentral:rRNA from 1 species
GGGUUGUGAGGUUAAGCGACUAAGCGUACACGGUGGAUGCCCUGGCAGUCAGAGGCGAUGAAGGACGUGCUAAUCUGCGAUAAGCGUCGGUAAGGUGAUAUGAACCGUUAUAACCGGCGAUUUCCGAAUGGGGAAACCCAGUGUGAUUCGUCACACUAUCAUUAACUGAAUCCAUAGGUUAAUGAGGCGAACCGGGGGAACUGAAACAUCUAAGUACCCCGAGGAAAAGAAAUCAACCGAGAUUCCCCCAGUAGCGGCGAGCGAACGGGGAGCAGCCCAGAGCCUGAAUCAGUGUGUGUGUUAGUGGAAGCGUCUGGAAAGGCGCGCGAUACAGGGUGACAGCCCCGUACACAAAAAUGCACAUACUGUGAGCUCGAUGAGUAGGGCGGGACACGUGGUAUCCUGUCUGAAUAUGGGGGGACCAUCCUCCAAGGCUAAAUACUCCUGACUGACCGAUAGUGAACCAGUACCGUGAGGGAAAGGCGAAAAGAACCCCGGCGAGGGGAGUGAAAAAGAACCUGAAACCGUGUACGUACAAGCAGUGGGAGCCUCUUUAUGGGGUGACUGCGUACCUUUUGUAUAAUGGGUCAGCGACUUAUAUUCUGUAGCAAGGUUAACCGAAUAGGGGAGCCGAAGGGAAACCGAGUCUUAACUGGGCGUUAAGUUGCAGGGUAUAGACCCGAAACCCGGUGAUCUAGCCAUGGGCAGGUUGAAGGUUGGGUAACACUAACUGGAGGACCGAACCGACUAAUGUUGAAAAAUUAGCGGAUGACUUGUGGCUGGGGGUGAAAGGCCAAUCAAACCGGGAGAUAGCUGGUUCUCCCCGAAAGCUAUUUAGGUAGCGCCUCGUGAAUUCAUCUCCGGGGGUAGAGCACUGUUUCGGCAAGGGGGUCAUCCCGACUUACCAACCCGAUGCAAACUGCGAAUACCGGAGAAUGUUAUCACGGGAGACACACGGCGGGUGCUAACGUCCGUCGUGAAGAGGGAAACAACCCAGACCGCCAGCUAAGGUCCCAAAGUCAUGGUUAAGUGGGAAACGAUGUGGGAAGGCCCAGACAGCCAGGAUGUUGGCUUAGAAGCAGCCAUCAUUUAAAGAAAGCGUAAUAGCUCACUGGUCGAGUCGGCCUGCGCGGAAGAUGUAACGGGGCUAAACCAUGCACCGAAGCUGCGGCAGCGACGCUUAUGCGUUGUUGGGUAGGGGAGCGUUCUGUAAGCCUGCGAAGGUGUACUGUGAGGUAUGCUGGAGGUAUCAGAAGUGCGAAUGCUGACAUAAGUAACGAUAAAGCGGGUGAAAAGCCCGCUCGCCGGAAGACCAAGGGUUCCUGUCCAACGUUAAUCGGGGCAGGGUGAGUCGACCCCUAAGGCGAGGCCGAAAGGCGUAGUCGAUGGGAAACAGGUUAAUAUUCCUGUACUUGGUGUUACUGCGAAGGGGGGACGGAGAAGGCUAUGUUGGCCGGGCGACGGUUGUCCCGGUUUAAGCGUGUAGGCUGGUUUUCCAGGCAAAUCCGGAAAAUCAAGGCUGAGGCGUGAUGACGAGGCACUACGGUGCUGAAGCAACAAAUGCCCUGCUUCCAGGAAAAGCCUCUAAGCAUCAGGUAACAUCAAAUCGUACCCCAAACCGACACAGGUGGUCAGGUAGAGAAUACCAAGGCGCUUGAGAGAACUCGGGUGAAGGAACUAGGCAAAAUGGUGCCGUAACUUCGGGAGAAGGCACGCUGAUAUGUAGGUGAAGUCCCUUGCGGAUGGAGCUGAAAUCAGUCGAAGAUACCAGCUGGCUGCAACUGUUUAUUAAAAACACAGCACUGUGCAAACACGAAAGUGGACGUAUACGGUGUGACGCCUGCCCGGUGCCGGAAGGUUAAUUGAUGGGGUUAGCGGUAACGCGAAGCUCUUGAUCGAAGCCCCGGUAAACGGCGGCCGUAACUAUAACGGUCCUAAGGUAGCGAAAUUCCUUGUCGGGUAAGUUCCGACCUGCACGAAUGGCGUAAUGAUGGCCAGGCUGUCUCCACCCGAGACUCAGUGAAAUUGAACUCGCUGUGAAGAUGCAGUGUACCCGCGGCAAGACGGAAAGACCCCGUGAACCUUUACUAUAGCUUGACACUGAACAUUGAGCCUUGAUGUGUAGGAUAGGUGGGAGGCUUUGAAGUGUGGACGCCAGUCUGCAUGGAGCCGACCUUGAAAUACCACCCUUUAAUGUUUGAUGUUCUAACGUUGGCCCCUAAUCGGGGUUGCGGACAGUGUCUGGUGGGUAGUUUGACUGGGGCGGUCUCCUCCUAAAGAGUAACGGAGGAGCACGAAGGUUGGCUAAUCCUGGUCGGACAUCAGGAGGUUAGUGCAAUGGCAUAAGCCAGCUUGACUGCGAGCGUGACGGCGCGAGCAGGUGCGAAAGCAGGUCAUAGUGAUCCGGUGGUUCUGAAUGGAAGGGCCAUCGCUCAACGGAUAAAAGGUACUCCGGGGAUAACAGGCUGAUACCGCCCAAGAGUUCAUAUCGACGGCGGUGUUUGGCACCUCGAUGUCGGCUCAUCACAUCCUGGGGCUGAAGUAGGUCCCAAGGGUAUGGCUGUUCGCCAUUUAAAGUGGUACGCGAGCUGGGUUUAGAACGUCGUGAGACAGUUCGGUCCCUAUCUGCCGUGGGCGCUGGAGAACUGAGGGGGGCUGCUCCUAGUACGAGAGGACCGGAGUGGACGCAUCACUGGUGUUCGGGUUGUCAUGCCAAUGGCACUGCCCGGUAGCUAAAUGCGGAAGAGAUAAGUGCUGAAAGCAUCUAAGCACGAAACUUGCCCCGAGAUGAGUUCUCCCUGACUCCCUGAGAGUCCUGAAGGAACGUUGAAGACGACGACGUUGAUAGGCCGGGUGUGUAAGCGCAGCGAUGCGUUGAGCUAACCGGUACUAAUGAACCGUGAGGCUUAACCUUACAACGCCGAAG